UUGCUUCCACAUUGACUUCCUGCUGGUUUGGUGGAGAAUAGGUGUCCUAUUAUAUUACUCUCUGUUGUUUGACCUGUUUUGUAUUGAGUGUGGGUUUUUUGACUCCACAUUCUGAUCACCCGCACUCAUUUGCUCCUUGUUUUGGAGCUGCUUCACUGUUGCAAAUUGAUCACAUGAAGUACUCACAAGAAUAGUAGUUUUAUACAAGGAUCCGAACUUAAGUGAUGUGAUCAAUGGGUUGCUUGAGUAAAUGGAACGAAAUAUUUGCGUGUUUGAACAAAGAGAUGAGAAAUUGAUGAUUCAUUUUUAAAACCAAGAGUGACUCAUUUGAGAUACAAUUAUAUAUUAUAGGCAAUGGAUGUGGGUGUGGAAAUUUUAAUUCAGCAUAAUAGAAGAACCGUUUAGAUUCAGCAAACAAAAUUGAGGUACACCUUUGACUACGUAUUCCUCCAUUUUUGGUAUAUGAUAGCCAGUAUGUGCAAUUGAUCACAAUGAUUAGAAUGUGCC
rnacentral:lncRNA from 1 species